UGGUUCUGAGUCGGAAGCACGGGCAAAAAUUAGGGAUGCUGGCAGCCAGUGCCGGAGUCCUGCUGGUCCUGGGCGGAUCACUGUGGUCUGGUUUCCUGUGCCGGUUGCUGCAGAGGCUGUGGGUUGGCGUUCAGUUGUCUCACAUGGGCCGGCCUCUGUCCUUCUGUAUAUUCAGUCUUUCCUAAUGCACUCAAAGCUUGUCACAUGGUGUAUGACAGUCCCAGGGCUACUGAAGACUGAAGCCAACUUCGAGGCAGACGAAUGACGGGAUCAGAGGCUGUGCUUCAGGAGGAUAAGGAAAUCAAACUCAUAAAGGCGAAGUAACUUGGCCAAAAUGAACAUGCACAUGCUUAUUAUGGGCCCAUAACUGUGCAGGACCAUCCUGGGGGAUGCCCCACCGAGUUGGCACCGAAACUCCCACCCAACAUGGCCAAGAACAAUCAGGACCGUGAGCUUUCCUUUUGGUUUCCGCGAUGGAGGCAGGGCCCUGGACGGGAGGAUGGAGGGUGGUCGAGAUGGUGGAUGAUGCAGGGGAGGAGAGAAAGAGAGAGAGACAAGGAGGAAAAGGGGUGUCAGAUACCCCUCAGCCCGCUGUGGGGACAAAGGGCAGGCUGCUCCACCAUGCGCCCGGUUGGCAUGCGGAUUAUUUUGAGCUGAAAACCAUCAUGGCACCAAAGACUUAGAAGAUAGUUUGGCCUCCACCCUGAAGCUGCAUAAAAAGGAUUUCGGUGGAGGACCUGCUCCCCGAGGAGAGCUACCCCCAAACUAGGGGUGAGAGGCAGG